rnacentral:tRNA from 1 species
GCCUGGGUGGUGGAAUUGGCAGACACGCUAGAUUUAGGAUCUAGUGCCGAAAGGCGUGCGGGUUCGAGUCCCGCCCCGGGCA